CCUACGGGAGGCAGCAGUGAGGAAUAUUGGUCAAUGGGCGGAAGCCUGAACCAGCCAAGUAGCGUGCGGGAUGAAGGCCCUACGGGUCGUAAACCGCUUUUGCACGGGGAUAACACCCUCCACUUGUGGAGGUCUGCAGGUACCGUGCGAAUAAGGGCCGGCCAGUUCCGUGCCAGCAGCCGCGGUAAUACGGAAGGCCCGAGCGUUAUCCGGGUUCAUUGGGCUUAAAGGGAGCGUAGGGGGGCGUUCAAGUCAGCUGUAAAAUCGCGCGGCUCAACCGCGCCCCGCAGUUGAAACUGGACGGCUUGAGUUCACAACAGGCAGGCGGAAUUCGUGGUGUAGCGGUGAAAUGCAUAGAUAUCACGAGGAACCCCGAUUGCGAAGGCAGCCUGCCGGGGUGCGACUGACGCUGAGGCUCGAAGGUGCGGGUAUCAAACAGGAUUAGAUACCCCAGUAGUC
rnacentral:rRNA from 1 species